rnacentral:rRNA from 1 species
GGGCGAAAGCCUGAUGCAGCAACGCCGCGUGAGCGAUGAAGGCCUUCGGGUUGUAAAGCUCUGUCUUCGCUGACGAAGAAUGACGGUAAGCGAGGAGGCAGCCACGGCUAACUACGUGCCAGCAGCCGCGGUAAUACGUAGGUGGCAAGCGUUGUCCGGAAUUACUGGGCGUAAAGAAUGCGUAGGCGGCUUUUUAAGUGGGAUGUGAAAUCCCUGGGCUGAACCCAGGAACUGCAUUCCAAACUGGAAAGCUAGAGUGCGGGAGAGGAAAUUGGUAUUCCCAGUGUAGCGGUGAAAUGCGUAGAGAUUGGGAGGAACACCAGUAGCGAAGGCGAAUUUCUGGAACGUAACUGACGCUGAGGCAUGAAAGCGUGGGGAGCAAACAGGAUUAGAUACCCUGGUAGUCCACGCCGUAAACGAUGAGUACUAGGUGUAGGGGGGUACCACCCCCUGUGCCGCAGUUAACACAUUAAGUACUCCGCCUGGGAAGUA